rnacentral:lncRNA from 1 species
AAGUUAAUACACAGGUUUUGAGUCUCUUGGAUGACUCCAUUUAAAUAAGAGAGGUAUGGGUAUUUAUGCACAUUUACGCGUCCUAGAUUCUCUCAUUCUAGAAAGUUCCCACCAGCGUGUGCAGCUGAGUUUGGAGAAUACUAGAAAAUAUUUACUUAUUAGAAAAGAUUUACAAAUUAACAUACGUCCAUUACUGGGGCCUCCUGAGUGACCAAAGUACUUCACAGAAGAAUGACUCCAAGGACAAUUAACUAGAACUCGCUCUGAUUAUGCACCUGCAAAUGUCAAAUCUUGUACACACUAGCAAACGAUAAUUGUGUGCUUUAACCUUAUUAUAGUUCCUUUUUACAUACUUUCUUUUAGGGGUCGCGUGGCAUCUUACAGGGAACUUUGUCAUACUAGCUCAUAUGAAUUCCAAUAUGAAUCAUCGGCCAGUGAGCUUUACCAACCAUGCACCACCCAAGUA